rnacentral:rRNA from 1 species
UUACCGGGACCGACAGCAAUAUGAAGGCCAGGCUGAAGACUUUGCCGGAUUAGCUGAGAGGUGGUGCAUGGCCGUCGUCAGUUCGUACUGUGAAGCAUCCUGUUAAGUCAGGCAACGAGCGAGACCCACGCCCACAGUUGCCAGCGUACUCUCUGGAGUGACGGGUACACUGUGGGACCGCCGCUGCUAAAGCGGAGGAAGGAAUGGGCAACGGUAGGUCAGUAUGCCCCGAAUAUCCCGGGCUACACGCGAGCUACAAUGGUUGGUACAAUGGGUAUCUACCCCGAAAGGGGACGGGAAUCUCCUAAAACCAAUCUUAGUUCGGAUUGAGGGCUGCAACUCGCCCUCAUGAAGCUGGAAUCCGUAGUAAUCGCGUUUCAACAGAACGCGGUGAAUACGUCCCUGCUCCUU